rnacentral:rRNA from 1 species
GUGCCAGCAGCCGCGGUAAUACGUAGGUGGCAAGCGUUAUCCGGAAUUAUUGGGCGUAAAGCGCGCGCAGGCGGUUUCUUAAGUCUGAUGUGAAAGCCCACGGCUCAACCGUGGAGGGUCAUUGGAAACUGGGGAACUUGAGUGCAGAAGAGAAAAGCGGAAGUCCACGUUUAGCGGUGAAAUGCGUAUGGAUGUGGAGGAAAACCAGUGGGGAAGGCGGCUUUUUGGUCUGUAACUGACGCUGAGGCGCGAAA